UACAGAGGGUGCAAGCGUUAAUCGGAAUUACUGGGCGUAAAGCGUGCGCAGACGGUUGCGUAAGUCAGAUGUGAAAGCCCCGGGCUCAACCUGGGAAUUGCAUUUGAGACUGCGUAGCUAGGGUGCGGAAGAGGGAAGCGGAAUUUCCGGUGUAGCGGUGAAAUGCGUAGAUAUCGGAAGGAACACCAGUGGCGAAGGCGGCUUCCUGGUCCAGCACCGACGUUCAGGCACGAAAGCGUGGGGAGCAAACAGG
rnacentral:rRNA from 1 species